rnacentral:sRNA from 18 species
GCCCGUGGAGUAUGGUGGCGGUAUGCGAAAGCACCGCAAACGCUUUCUUUUAGCGUUAGGACACCUUAGCUGCUCGGGCUU